rnacentral:rRNA from 1 species
AACGAACGCUGGCGGCAGGCCUAACACAUGCAAGUCGAACGCUUCAGCAAUGGAGAGUGGCAGACGGGUGAGUAACGCGUGGGAACCUUCCCAGUGGUACGGAAUAGCCCAGGGAAACUUGGGGUAAUACCGUAUAAGCCCCUAGGGGGAAAGAUUUAUCGCCAUUGGAUGGGCCCGCGUCGGAUUAGCUUGUUGGUGGGUAAAAGCCUACCAAGGCGACGAUCCGUAGCUGGUCUGAGAGGAUGAUCAGCCACACUGGGACUGAGACACGGCCCAGACUCCUACGGGAGGCAGCAGUGGGGAAUAUUGGACAAUGGGCGCAAGCCUGAUCCAGCCAUGCCGCGUGAGUGACGAAGGCCCUAGGGUUGUAAAGCUCUUUUGGCGGGGACGAUAAUGACGGUACCCGCAGAAUAAGCUCCGGCUAACUUCGUG